rnacentral:lncRNA from 1 species
GUUACCGAGCGGCCGGCGCUGGGGUGGCAGGGGCGGGGCUCGCCGAAUUCCCGGUUCUGGGCGGGUGGGCCCGCCGGCUCCGGCCUGGUUUCCCCUACCUGUGGCGGGGAGUGAGGAAAGCCGGCCCUCGGGUAAAGGACCCUAACUUUUUUUUUUUUUUUUGAGACGGAGUCUCGCUCUGUCGCCCAGGCUGGACUGCCGUGGCGCGAUCUCGGAUCACUGCAACCUCCGCCUCCCGGGUUCAAGCGAUUCCCCUGCCUCAGCCUCCCGAGCAGCUGGGGUUACAGGCGCGCACCACCACGCCCCGCUAAUUUUUGUAUUUUUAGUAGAGACGAAAUUUCGCCAUGUUGGCCAGGAUGGUUUCAAACUCCUGACCUCAGGUGAUCCGCCCUGGGAUUACAGACGUGAGCCACCGCACCUGGCCAACGUUUUAACAGCCUUUAGCCAAAGCCUGGGUGCAGCUCCAGUUGAGAGGGAGCGGCUGUUGCCGGGGCAACUGCUCCCGCUCGGGGCAGCGAGGGCCGGUCAGUCUCGAGAAUUAAGACGGAGGGCCUCCUCGGACCCUACAGAGUUGUUUGAAUAACAUUUUUCCGUUUGUGGGAACCCUAACCCUAAUCCACUUUGUGCUGUCCCAGGACUCGCAUAGAGGAGUGCAGGUUCUGAUCCCUGCUGGGAAGGUGAGGGCUCCGCGGAGAGCCUGGGACCUCGAGGGGCAGCCCGCUGAAGACAGGCCAUCUAGGGCAAUAGCGUGGGCUUUGGCAGCAGCGUUUGGCUAGGGAGGUGGGGUGGGGAGAGGCAGGACAGACUCAGGUAAUCAACCUCUGGGUACACGCCACAGGGAAAGGAGCCUUGGUUUUUUUUUUUUUUUUCCAACAGAAAAAUGAUUAGGACUGUAAAGCCUUCUAGCUCCCUCUUGCCAAAGAGAGGCUGGUCACAGAGGCGGGAGACAGUCUGUUGAGCGGGGAGCUGACCAUCUGAGGACAGACACUGAGGAAGGAGGAUGGAAUGAUUUUGGCAGUGAAUGACAAUUCCUUCAACAAGACCCCCCCCCCCCACUCACUUCAAAGAAACAGUGGACAGGAUGUGCUUUCCAAAAUACUGCAGUUUAAUUCUGAAAAACUCAAAUGCAAGAGGCCCAGAGCUGUCUAUGGGAUUGGAUCUCCUGCAACCUGCCUUGGGCCCCAGAAGAGACUGGCAAUGUCAGCCUCCUCCCUGCUCUGCCUGAGGGAGGCCACGGAGAACUUCCUUAUCGGGCCCAAACUGGAGCCGCUGACUGCUCAGAGCAAGAUUUCUGCCU